GGAGCAGGUUGGACUGCUUUGUGAUUUUCCUGAACAGUGAGCUGCGUUUCUUACUGGAAUACAAAAAACAGCCACAAGGAUGAGCUCCACUACUUCUGUAUGGACAAGACCAUGGACUGACUCCCCGUUUACGCAAGGAUCAAAGGUGGAGCUGAGAAGGAAGCAAUCACAGAUGAGGAAGUCAUAAAGAGGGUGGCUGCGCUGAACAGAAGACACACUGAUCUUAAGAUUGGGGAGACUGUGGAAGUGUGUUGUUACAAGAUAAUGGUGUAUAUGACCUGUUUAUGUUGCAGUUGUUUUUCCCAUCCUUUAGAGAGCAACGUUUAUUGUAACUAGGGAACCCCCAAAGAUAAUAAAAAGAGAGGUGCGGACAGAUUUCAGAGCGGUAGGAGAUUUGUAACUGAAAGCACACACUCCACAAAUGUGGCUCUUGUAGAAAAAGGAUGAAGAAGAAAGCCAUUGUUGAAACAGAUCUACCUGAAAUGCAUUGAAUUUUCUCACAAGCCAUGAAGGAGACAGAGCAAGCAUGGAAAAGAAGGUGCAAAUAGUCUUAUGAAAACUGACAUUGCAUAUCGCCCUGAACACACCAUCUCAACUGUUAAACAUCAGGAUGACAGCAUUACUCCUUCGGGGUGUUUGUCUUCAGCAGAGACAAGUGGGUCAGAAUUCACGUGAAGAUGGAUGGAGCU